rnacentral:rRNA from 1 species
UACGGGGGGGGCUAGCGUUGUUCGGAAUUACUGGGCGUAAAGGGCGCGUAGGCGGCCUACUAAGUCGGACGUGAAAUCCCUCGGCUCAACCGGGGAACUGCGUCCGAUACUGGUGGGCUCGAAUCCGGGAGAGGGAUGUGGAAUUCCAGGUGUAGCGGUGAAAUGCGUAGAUAUCGUAAGGAAGACCAGUGGCGAAGGCGAGUCUCUGGACAGCAACUGACGCUGAGGCACGAAGGCCAGGGGAGCAAACGGG